CACGUAGGGACCAAGCGUUGUCCGGAUUCAUUGGGCGUAAAGAGCUCGUAGGCGGUUCGAUAAGUCGGGUGUGAAACCUCCAGGCUCAACCUGGAGACGCCACCCGAUACUGUCGUGACUAGAGUCCAGUAGGGGAGCGUGGAAUUCCUGGUGUAGCGGUGAAAUGCGCAGAUAUCAGGAGGAACACCAGCGGCGAAGGCGGCGCUCUGGGCCGGUACUGACGCUGAGGAGCGAAAGCGUGGGGAGCAAACAGG
rnacentral:rRNA from 1 species